rnacentral:rRNA from 1 species
CUCGAGCGGCGAACGGGUGAGUAACACGUGAGCAACCUGCCCUAGGCUUUGGGAUAACCCCGGGAAACCGGGGCUAAUACCGAAUAGGACCUCUGACCGCAUGGUUGGUGGUGGAAAGUUUUUCGGCCUGGGAUGGGCUCGCGGCCUAUCAGCUUGUUGGUGGGGUGAUGGCCUACCAAGGCGACGACGGGUAGCCGGCCUGAGAGGGCGACCGGCCACACUGGGACUGAGACACGGCCCAGACUCCUACGGGAGGCAGCAGUGGGGAAUAUUGCACAAUGGGCGGAAGCCUGAUGCAGCGACGCCGCGUGAGGGAUGACGGCCUUCGGGUUGUAAACCUCUUUCAGCAGGGACGAAGCGUAAGUGACGGUACCUGCAGAAGAAGCGCCGGCCAACUACGUGCCAGCAGCCGCGGUAAGACGUAGGGCGCGAGCGUUGUCCGGAUUUAUUGGGCGUAAAGAGCUCGUAGGCGGCUUGUCGCGUCGACUGUGAAAACCCGCAGCUCAACUGCGGGCCUGCAGUCGAUACGGGCAGGCUAGAGUUCGGUAGGGGAGACUGGAAUUCCUGGUGUAGCGGUGAAAUGCGCAGAUAUCAGGAGGAACACCGGUGGCGAAGGCGGGUCUCUGGGCCGAUACUGACGCUGAGGAGCGAAAGCGUGGGGAGCGAACAG